GACGAACGCUGGCGGCGUGCCUAAUACAUGCAAGUAGGACGCAGUUGCGAACGGGUGAGUAACGCGUAGGUCACUGCCUAUUAGAGGGGGCUAACUAUUGGAAACGAUAGCUAAUACCGCAUACUAGUAGAUGGACCUUCGUUGUAUUAGCUAGUAGGUAGGGUAAUGGGCUCCCUAGGCGACGAUACCUAGCCGACGUUGGAGGGAGAUCGGACAAAAGGGGACGGGGUAACGGCCCAGAAUCCGACGGGAGGCAGGAGGAGGGAAUCUUCGGCAAAGGGGGGAACCCUGACCGAGCAACGCCGGGGGAGGGAAGAAGGGUUUCGGAUCGUAAAGCUCUGUUGUUAAGGAAGCGGUACUUAACCAGAAAGGGACGGCUAACUACGUGCCAGCAGCCGCGGUAAUUC
rnacentral:rRNA from 1 species